UACGGGGGGGGCAAGCGUUGUUCGGAAUUACUGGGCGUAAAGGGCUCGUAGGCGGCCAACUAAGUCGGAUGUGAAAUCCCCAGGCUUAGCCUGGGAACUGCAUCCGAUACUGGAUGGCUUGAAUCCGGGAGAGGGAUGCAGAAUUCCAGGUGUAGCGGUGAAAUGCGUAGAUAUCUGGAGGAAUACCGGUGGCGAAGGCGGCAUCCUGGACCGGCAUUGACGCUGAGGAGCGAAAGCUAGGGGAGCAAACGGG
rnacentral:rRNA from 1 species